rnacentral:rRNA from 1 species
CCUANGGGCGGCAGCAGUUGGGAAUUUUGCACAAUGGACGAAAGUCUGAUGCAGCAACACUGCGUGAAGGAUGAAGGUUUUCGGAUCGUAAACUUCUUUUAUCUGGGAAUAAUCUUGAAGGUACCAGAUGAAUAAGCACCGGCUAACUACGUGCCAGCAGCCGCGGUAAUACGUAGGGUGCAAACGUUAUCCGGAUUUAUUGGGCGUAAAGAGCUCGUAGGUGGACUUAUAAGUUGGAUAUGAAAUGCUUAGGCUCAACCUAAGAACCGUAUCCAAAACUAUAAAUCUAGAGGUAUGCAGGGGUAGAUGGAACUUACGGUGUAGCAGUGAUAUGCGUAGAUAUCGUAAGGAACGCCAAUGGUGAAGACAGUCUACUGGGCAUUACCUGACACUGAGGAGCGAAAGCGUGGGGAGCGAACGGGAUUAGAUACCCUANUANUC